rnacentral:rRNA from 1 species
AGUAUGAAUGGCACCACGAAAAUUAAACUGUCUCUUUUUUUUAAUCAGUGAAACUAAUCUUCCUGUGAAAAAGCAGGAAUAACCAUAUAAGACGAGAAGACCCUGUGGAACUUUAAACUUUACUAGUAGUUUUCGGUUGGGGCGACCUUGGAGAACAAUUCACCCUCCAAAUUGACCUAAGCAAAAAGUCACAACUUUACGCAUCAAUAAAUUGACAUCCAUUGACCCAGUAAUCCUGAUCAACGAACCAAGCUACCCCAGGGAUAACAGCGCAAUCUUCUUCUAGAGCCCGUAUCGCCAAGAAGGUUUACGACCUCGAUGUUGGAUCAGGGUACCCAAGGAGUGCAGCCGCCCCUAAAGGUUCGUUUGUUCAACGAUUAA